rnacentral:rRNA from 1 species
GAUGAACGCUGGCGGCGUGCCUAAUACAUGCAAGUCGAGCGAACAGACGAGGAGCUUGCUCCUCUCACGUUAGCGGCGGACGGGUGAGUAACACGUGUAUAACGUACCUAUAAGACUGAGAUCACUUCGGGAAACCGGCGCUAAUACCGGAGAAUAUCUUGAAGCGCGUGGGUCGAUGGUGAAAGACGGCUUUGCUGUCACUUAUAGAUGGAUAUGGGCCGCAUUAGCUGGUUGGUAAGGUAACGGGCUACCAAGGCAACGAUGCGUAGCCGACGGGAGAGGGUGGUCGGCCACCCUGGAACUAAGACGCCGUCCAGGCUCCUACGGGAGGCAGCAGUAGGGAAUCUUCCGCAAUGGGCGAAAGCCUGACGGAGCAACGCCGCGUGAGUGAUGAAGGUCUUCGGAUCGUAAAACUCUGUUAUUAGGGAAGAACAAAUGUGUAAGUAACUAUGCACGUCUUGACGGUACCUAAUCAGAAAGCCACGGCUAACUACGUG